AGUGAACGCUGGCGGUAGGCCUAACACAUGCAAGUCGAACGGCAGCACAGUAAGAGCUUGCUCUUACGGGUGGCGAGUGGCGGACGGGUGAGGAAUACAUCGGAAUCUACUUUUUCGUGGGGGUUAACGUAGGAAAACUUACGCUAAUACCGCAUACAACCUACGGUUGAAAGAGUGGGAUCUUCGAACCUGCCGGGAUUGAAUGAGCGGAUGUCGAAUUAGCUAGUUGGCGGGGUAAAGGCCCACAAAGGCGACGAUCCGUAGCUGGUCUGAGAGGAUGAUCAGCCACACUGGAACUGAGACACGGUCCAGACUCCUACGGGAGGCAGCAGUGGGGAAUAUUGGACAAUGGGCGCAAGCCUGAUCCAGCCAUACCGCGUGGGUGAAGAAGGCCUUCGGGUUGUAAAGCCCUUUUGUUGGGAAAGAAAAGCAGCAGGUUAAUACCCCGCUGUUCUGACGGUACCCAAAGAAUAAGCACCGGCUAACUUCGUG
rnacentral:rRNA from 1 species